rnacentral:tRNA from 1 species
GCCGGGGUGGCGAAAUUGGUAGACGCAAAGGACUUAAAAUCCUUUGGGGUAAUUCCCCGUGCCGGUUCGAGUCCGGCCCUCGGCACCA